rnacentral:rRNA from 1 species
AGAUUCUCUUUUAGAGCCUUGCACUAAUGGAUGAGCCUAGGUCGGAUUAGCUAGUUGGUGGGGUAAAGGCCUACCAAGGCGACGAUCUGUAGCGGGUCUGAGAGGAUGAUCCGCCACACUGGAAUUGAGACACGGUCCAGACUCCUACGGGAGGCAGCAGUGGGGAAUAUUGGACAAUGGGCGCAAGCCUGAUCCAGCCAUGCCGCGUGUGUGAAGAAGGCCUUUUGGUUGUAAAGCACUUUAAGCGAGGAGGAGGCUACCUGUAUUAAUACUAUAGGAUAGUGGACGUUACUCGCAGAAUAAGCACCGGCUAACUCUGUGCCAGCAGCCGCGGUAAUACAGAGGGUGCGAGCGUUAAUCGGAAUUACUGGGCGUCAAGCGCGCGUAGGCGGUUUGUUAAGUCGGAUGUGAAAUCCCCGGGCUCAACCUGGGAAUUGCAUUCGAUACUGGCAAGCUAGAGUAUGGGAGAGGAAGGUAGAAUUCCAGGUGUAGCGGUGAAAUGCGUAGAGAUCUGGAGGAAUACCGAUGGCGAAGGCAGCCUUCUGGCCUAAUACUGACGCUGAGGUGCGAAAGCAUGGGGA